CCUACGGGGGGCUGCAGUAAGGAAUAUUGGUCAAUGGACGCAAGUCUGAACCAGCCAUGCCGCGUGGAGGAUGAAGGUCCUCUGGAUUGUAAACUUCUUUUAUCUGGGACGAAACACUUCUUUUCUAAGAGGCCUGACGGUACCAGAUGAAUAAGCACCGGCUAACUCCGUGCCAGCAGCCGCGGUAAUACGGAGGGUGCAGGCGUUAUCCGGAUUCACUGGUGUGAAGGGGUGCGUAGGUGGGUAUGUAGAAAUCCCCGAGCUUAACUUGGGAACUGCCUUUGAUACUAUAUAUCUUGAAUACCGUAGAGGUAAGCGGAAUAUGUCAUGUAGCGGUGAAAUGCUUAGAUAUGACAUGGAACACCAAUUGCGAAGGCAGCUUACUAUGCGGUUAUUGACACUGAGGCACGAAAGCGUGGGUAGCAAACAGGAUUAGAUACCCCGGUAGUC
rnacentral:rRNA from 1 species